AUACGGAAGGUCCGGGCGUUAUCCGGAUUUAUUGGGUUUAAAGGGAGCGCAGACGGGCUGUUAAGCGUGACGUGAAAUCCGGGGGCUCAACCUUCGGCUGCGUCGCGAACUGGCGGCCUUGAGUGGACGGUAGGCAGGCGGAAUUCGUGGUGUAGCGGUGAAAUGCUUAGAUAUCACGAAGAACCCCGAUUGCGAAGGCAGCUUGCCGAAGUCUUACUGACGUUCAUGCUCGAAGGUGCGGGUAUCGAACAGGAUUAGAUACCCUGGUAGUCCGCACGGUAAACGAUGGAUGCCCGCUGUUGGCGACACACUGUCAGCGGCCAAGCGAAAGCAUUAAGCAUCCCACCUGGGGAGUACGCCGGCAACGGUGAAACUCAAAUGAAUUGACGGGG
rnacentral:rRNA from 1 species